rnacentral:rRNA from 1 species
AGGACGAACGCUGGCGGCGUGCUUAACACAUGCAAGUCGAGCGGUAAGGCCUCCUUCGGGGGGUACACGAGCGGCGAACGGGUGAGUAACACGUGGGUGACCUGCCCUCAGCUCUGGGAUAAGCCUGGGAAACCGGGUCUAAUACCGGAUGGGACUGCUUGCCGCAUGGUGGGUGGUGGAAAGUUUUUUCGGCUGGGGAUGGGCCCGCGGCCUAUCAGCUUGUUGGUGGGGUGAUGGCCUACCAAGGCGGUG